AUGGGCAAUGGCUCCUGGGAUGGGAAAGCAUUGGGAUGGGAAGUCUUGAAUGGGGUGGGUACCAUUCCCUGGGGAAGGAAAUACUUGGGAAAGUCCUCCAAGAGAGGGGAAUUCUUUGGGACGAGAUCUCUUUGGAUGAAGAAACGCUUCGUGUUGAUGGGAAAUCUUUUGUAUGGGAAUCUGUUAUCUUGUGAACUUGUCAGGAUGGGAAAUGACCAUGAGGAUGAAAGCUGGUACUGGGGUGGGAAAUGCUCAGGCCGGGAAGAGGCAGUGUGGAAGCAUCAUGGGCAUGGCAAGUGCUGCAUGGGAGGGCAAGCCUGCUGGGGAUGGCCAAGUCUUGCGCUGGGCAGCCUGCUUGGGUCCGAAGCCUGCAGUCCUCCCCAAGAUGUCGGCGAGGGGCUGGUCAGCCGUUGGGAUGGAACCCCCAUUGCGCGGGUUCCCCAAGCAACCGCCCCACUCUCCAGCCACCAUGGCAGGUCCAGCAGCCGGCUCCCGCUCCUCCCGGGGCUGUGGCCCUGCUGGCGAGCCCAGCGCCCCAGAGCUCAGCCCAGCGCCCUUUUUCCCACAGAGGGUUUCCCCAGAUGGCUUCCGCGGGUUGCGCAGAGGCAAAACUCCCCCUUCGUCGUCGCAGCCGUGCCGCCAACGGUGGCUGCCUGGCUGCUGCCCUCCCUCCCCGGAGCGACGGCGGUGCCCUUGCAGCCCCUGCAGCGGCGACACUUGCAGAGGUGCCUGAGGAGCCCCUGGAGCUGCUGGAGCUGGGCCCCGAUGCCUUCGCCGAGGCCUUUCCCCAGCUGGCAGGGGACAGCCAGCAGCUGCAGCACGUGCAGGACCAGCUCCCGGCGGACCUGGACAGCUCCGGCUUGGAGGAGCUGCUCAGCUGCCUGGAUGCCGUGGAGCCCCAGGACGCCUUCGCCGCUGUCCCCAGCAGUUCUAUCCUCAAGCACUUCCUCUCGCAGCUGCCCGACCUCUGCGAGGACAUCGAGGAGCCGAGCACACAGGGACUGGCAGCCACCAGAGCGCUGGGUGAGGUCCCCUCAAGCCCUGGGCUGCACCCCGACAAGGUGCAGGCUGGGCGGGCGCUGCAGCCCCCUGCAGCUGCUGUGCCGCCACUCAGCUCCCCCCUCAAGCCUGCAGCCCGGCCCCAGCUCAGGAGAGCCCUGCCCAAAAGGCCCCCCCCAGCAGGAAUUCAUCCCUGCCCGCAGGAGAACCCUGCCCCAGCCUCCCUUGGCUCCCCUCAAGAGGCCCCCUGACCCUGACUGGCUCCCUGCCCGCAGGAGACCCCUGCCCCAGCCUCCCUUGGCUCCCCUCAAGAGGCCUCAACUUCUCCCAGCCCUGAGGAGAGCCCUGCCCAGUCCCCCUCACAGUCCCCUCCAGAGCCCCCUGCCUGCCCCUGCGCCCACCGGCACCAAGUGGGGGGCCAAGCGCCCCGCGCCCACUGGCACCCCCAGCACAGCGCAGAGCUCCCAGCACAGGAGGCCGACGACGGACAAGACCCCCGACAAGGAGAAGACUGCUGCUGGGCCAGGCUGGCCAAGGCCCCAAGACGCUGUGCCAGGGUAAGACGGGUGGCCACAGCACGCUGGCUGGCAGCAGCAGCCAAGCGGGCAGUGGCAGGCAGCAGCUGGCGAGCGACAGCACCAGGGCGUCCAGCAAGAGAGCGCGAAGCCCGGGGGCUGCUGGGGGGCAAGGAGCAGCAGCGCCGUCUCUUCGCAGAACGCUGCUGCUGCCGGAACCCCUCCCCAUGAAGCCCCGUGCCCGUGCCUGUGCCAUGCGGCCCCAGGACAGGCUCCGGCCCCAAGCCAGUGGGGCCAAGACGCUGCAGCGCCAGCAGCCGGAGACAAAGACCCCCAGCGAGACUUUGCAGCUGCUGGGGGCCAGGGCCAAGGCGCUGGGGCCAGUGCACCAGCCACCCUGUGUGCAGCCGCAGCCCACCUCCAGCGGCCCCAGCAGCAUGCCCAGGGCCCGGCCGACGCUGCCAGGCUCCAGCGCUGCGCCCGCUGCCCCCCAGCCCCCAGC
rnacentral:lncRNA from 1 species